rnacentral:rRNA from 1 species
AUGUAGGUGAAGUGAUUUACUCAUGGAGCUGAAGUCAGUCGAAGAUACCAGCUGGCUGCAACUGUUUAUUAAAAACACAGCACUGUGCAAACACGAAAGUGGACGUAUACGGUGUGACGCCUGCCCGGUGCCGGAAGGUUAAUUGAUGGGGUCAGCGCAAGCGAAGCUCCUGAUCGAAGCCCCGGUAAACGGCGGCCGUAACUAUAACGGUCCUAAGGUAGCGAAAUUCCUUGUCGGGUAAGUUCCGACCUGCACGAAUGGCGUAAUGAUGGCCAGGCUGUCUCCACCCGAGACUCAGUGAAAUUGAACUCGCUGUGAAGAUGCAGUGUACCCGCGGCAAGACGGAAAGACCCCGUGAACCUUUACUAUAGCUUGACACUGAACAUUGAGCCUUGAUGUGUAGGAUAGGUGGGAGGCUUUGAAGUGUGGACGCCAGUCUGCAUGGAGCCGACCUUGAAAUACCACCCUUUAAUGUUUGAUGUUCUAACGUGGACCCGUGAUCCGGGUUGCGGACAGUGUCUGGUGGGUAGUUUGACUGGGGCGGUCUCCUCCUAAAGAGUAACGGAGGAGCACGAAGGUUGGCUAAUCUUGGUCGGACAUCAGGAGGUUAGUGCAAUGGCAUAAGCCAGCUUGACUGCGAGCGUGACGGCGCGAGCAGGUGCGAAAGCAGGUCAUAGUGAUCCGGUGGUUCUGAAUGGAAGGGCCAUCGCUCAACGGAUAAAAGGUACUCCGGGGAUAACAGGCUGAUACCGCCCAAGAGUUCAUAUCGACGGCGGUGUUUGGCACCUCGAUGUCGGCUCAUCACAUCCUGGGGCUGAAGUAGGUCCCAAGGGUAUGGCUGUUCGCCAUUUAAAGUGGUACGCGAGCUGGGUUUAGAACGUCGUGAGACAGUUCGGUCCCUAUCUGCCGUGGGCGCUGGAGAACUGAGGGGGGCUGCUCCUAGUACGAGAGGACCGGAGUGGACGCAUCACUGGUGUUCGGGUUGUCAUGCCAAUGGCACUGCCCGGUAGCUAAAUGCGGAAGAAAUAAGUGCUGAAAGCAUCUAAGCACGAAACUUGCCCCGAGAUGAGUUCUCCCUGAGACUUUAGGUCUCCUGAAGGAACGUUGAAGACGACGACGUUGAUAGGCCGGGUGUGUAAGCGCAGCGAUGCGUUGAGCUAACCGGUACUAAUGAACCGUGAGGCUUAACCUUACAACGCCGAAG